CCUACGGGAGGCAGCAGUGAGGAAUAUUGGUCAAUGGGCGCGAGCCUGAACCAGCCAAGUAGCGUGAAGGAUGACUGCCCUACGGGUUGUAAACUUCUUUUAUAAAGGAAUAAAGUGAGGCACGUGUGCCUUUUUGUAUGUACUUUAUGAAUAAGGAUCGGCUAACUCCGUGCCAGCAGCCGCGGUAAUACGGAGGAUCCGAGCGUUAUCCGGAUUUAUUGGGUUUAAAGGGAGCGUAGAUGGGUUGUUAAGUCAGUUGUGAAAGUUUGCGGCUCAACCGUAAAAUUGCAAUGGAUACUGGCAGUUUUGAGUACAGGUGAGGAAGGCGGAAUUCGGGGGGGAGCGGGGAAAUGUUAAGAUACCACGAAGAACCCCGAGUGAGAGGGCAGUUUACAAAACUGCCAUGGACAUUGAUGCUCGAAAGUGUGGGUAUAAAACAGGAUUAGAGCCCCGAGUAGGC
rnacentral:rRNA from 1 species